UACGGAGGGUGCAAGCGUUAUCCGGAUUCACUGGGUUUAAAGGGUGCGUAGGCGGAUAUGUAAGUCCGUGGUGAAAUCUCUGGGCUUAACCCGGAAACUGCCAUGGAUACUAUGUGUCUUGAAUGUUGUUGAGGUGAGCGGAAUAUGUCAUGUAGCGGUGAAAUGGCUUAGAUAUGACAUAGAACACCAAUUGCGAAGGCAGCUCACUAAGCAAAUAUUGACGCUGAGGCACGAAAGCGUGGGGAUCAAACAGG
rnacentral:rRNA from 1 species